AAAAAUUUAGGUCUCAUCGUUUCCUCUCGAAUUACAGAAAAAUAAAGGUAUUCACUGAUUUCACCAGAUCUCCCGUUGUCAGAAAGGAUAUGAGCCACCGAGAGGAACCGGAACUAUCGCACUGAAGCUCUGCUGCUGUUUUAAGUUGCCACUUGAUUUUUCCAUACACCAAUUUGUAGGCGUACAAAUUGAUUUUAUGUGUAUGUGUACUGUACUUGCAGAAAUGAGUUUUCAUCUUCGGGUACUGAUAGCGAACUCGUCCAACCUGGUGGCACUUUAAAGCGCAUCUCAAAUGCUGGUUGACCUGCUAUCAGUGAAGAGAAUGACUGAUCCGUUAGGUAACUACAAGGUGGUAGUUAGUCUUCAUCAACUGGCUUGUGGUCUUCAAACAGAUUGAUUUUUUUCUUGUGCGCUUUUUGAUGCAUGGGGAAUCACAAUACCUCAACUGCAUCCAUCGCUUUGGCUUGCGCUGGAAAGUACAAGGUUGCCCUUGCAAAAUCUUCUCUUGUGAAUGGUAAAAUAGAAACUCAAGAUUCCGGAUCAAAUUUACCGGACAGAUUAUUCGAAUUUUCUCCUUCCAGUGAGUAUGUUGAAUGUAAACGAAGUCUUGCUCCCAACUAAUGUUGUUCCUCUUAAUUGAAGACCAGGGGUCACAACCACUGAUUCAGACUCUAACAGCGAUGAAUGUAGCUUUCCUAUGGUAAAAAAUAUCAACCUAGUGAACACCCAUUGCAGUCAAGUGACUUCUUCUUCUAGCAUAAUGAGAAUAUCUCGGAAUAUAUACAAGACGCGUCCAAUCGGGGACAAGACUUUAGUCGUCAGUCGUUUUGAAACAUGCCGACUUUUUUUGACUCUCAUAGUCUGAAAAGGUCUCAGGUUUGUUGACUCUCCUACCGACUUUUUUUGUUCCUCCCCGGGAGAAAACUGAGAGUGAGAGCCCGAACGACUCCAAAAUCGGUGAUUGCUCAGAGAACCCCCUUGAGGAUGAAACCCCAAGGGCGGUUCCUACUGUAGUGCCUGGCAUUCCCUUCUCCAUGGGUGAUCGAGUUAGUGAUGAAGUGUGUUGUCUAAAUCUUGUCAAUCUCAUUUGGUGAAACUGAAUUGCUUGAUAAAUGCAGAUAAAUCUCAUUGUUUUCUCAACAUGAUGCUUUGAAUGCUUCCGAAGUUAACGAAAACCAGAAAGGCGCAGAUCCGUCGUCCACCACCAACAAUGUUCCAGUUCCUCCAAAUCCAGAGCUCACAAAUACUCGAACAAUGAAAGGACAGCCAAAAAAGAGGAAAACCACCGACUUUGUUUCUGCACCUCCCUCAGAAAGACAAUACUGCACCGAUGCGCAGGAAGGUCUGUUUACAAGCUCGGGCCAUGGACUUAAAGGUAGUGGCUCUCACACGAGGUGACAUGCGGAAGAGCACACUGUUGUUCAUAGAGCUUUCUCCAAUCAUGUCUCCGCGUCCAACACCUCUAGCCUCUGGUCCUACAUGCGAUUUCUCGGACUUCCCUCGGCUCAUGAAAAAUAUGACUGAGAACUUCAACAAGGUAAAUCCCAAAUCUUACUCCUCCAUGGUCGCUCAUUAGAAAAUUAAUACUUGAGUGCAGCGAUAAAAACAUCGAACAUUCUCUUGUCCUUCAUCCUUGCUGUCUGAAAUUCUAAAUGCUAAGGGUACUGGAUACUUGAAAAACACUUCUCGGGUGGAGGAGCUAUUACUGUUUGUUGGAAUAACAUACUGACCGGUUUUUCUGCAUAACUUAUCAACUGAACCUUCUUGUUGGUAAUACUACAGGCUGUAAUUGUCAUUUGGUCCUCUUCCUUUGUCCUGUAUUUUAUUUGUUCAGUUAUAGUAUCAGAGGAAAGCUUCCACAUAUCGCCAUUAAUGGCAGAUUUUUAGAUCUGAAAAUUUAUGAACUCUUCUUUUCUUGUUUUUUGAUCUCUUCUUUUCUCUAUUAUUCGUCAUCAUCAUUAAUCACUUCUGGUUAAUCUUUCUUUGGCUCUAAUGGCGAAUUACGAAUCAAGAAUUUCACACAUUCCUCUAAAUCAAAUCUCUGCUCUUCUUUCUUACAAACUCAAAGAGGAUAAUUUCCUCACCUGGAAAUCUUUAUUAUUUCCUCUUCUCAAAAGAUACAAGGUUCUUGGUUUUCUUGAUGGAUCUCUACAAUGUCCACCUUAUAUAAUUGUUAAUAUUCCAAAUCCUGGCUAUGUAGCGUGGCAUGAUGAUGAUACUACUCUUAUUCUUUGGAUUCAAUCGUCUAUUUCAGACGCAAUUAUUGCUUAUGUUGCUGGUGUUGAUUCUGCUAUGGAACUUUGGGAAACAAUUGAAUCACGAUUUUCUCAAAGUUCUCCUACACAUUCUAUUCAGCUGCGCGUGAAGCUACAAUCUCUCAAACUUGGUUCAGGUACUGUUUCUACAUUCCUUAGUCAAAUCAAGAAAGUUACAGAUGAGCUUUAUGCUGCUGGAUCUAGAAUUGCUGAUGAUGAACUGGUUGUUAUUAUCUUGAAUGGUCUGGAUCAGAUUAUAGUUCUUUCUGUACUUCCAUUAGAAUUCGUUAUCCUUCUGUUACUUCUAAGGAAUUACACAAUCUUCUCAUGAGUGAAGAAAUUAUAGUUAACAACAAACAUAAAGAGAUAUUAUAUGAUGCUAAUGGUAAAGCAUUUGCUGCUAAUGCUAAACCAUAUAACUUCUAUGCAAGAGGAAGAGGUAGAGGUUUUAAUCCAUCUUAUGCUCCUAGACCAAAUUUUCAGUCUCAGUAUUUUUCUCAACAACCAAGAGCACCAUAAUACUAUGCUCUUAGAGGUUAUUCUCAUUUUCAGAUAUAUCCAGUUCCAAACUUCACACCUAAUAUACCUGCAAGAUCAAACAUAGCUUCUACUUCCACCAAUGAACCUACAACUGAGAAGUGUCAGAUUUGCUAGGAAAAGGGACAUCAAGCUCUUGAAUGCAGGCAUAGACUUAAUUUCAGCUAUCAGAAUGUCAACACUCCACACAAUCUUAGUGCUAUGUUAGCUACUGCUAACAUCAUGGGAGAAAAUCCAUGGUAUGCUGAUUCAGGAGCUAAUAAUCACAUCACCUAUGAUGAGUCUGAAUUUACUACAACUACUGCUUUUGAAGGGUUCAAGCAGCUAAUGGAGAAGGAUCUCUCGUCUGGGAGGAUCACUUUACAAGAGCCUCAUAAGGAUGGCUUAUACCCAAUGCAUUUUCUACAUCAACAUAACUACAAAGCUCUAUCCAGUCAAAUACCUACAGCGGCUACCUGGCACAGAAGAUUGGCUCAUCCAUCAUUUCAAGUUCUGCAAAAAGUCUGUCAAAACACUUGCUUUAUCAUAUAUUACUAAAUCUCCUCUAUUUUGUAAUGAAUGUCAGUUAGGCAAGUCACACAAAUUUCCUUUUACUUUGUCUUCACAUCAAGCAAAUUCUCCUUUAGAAUUACUUCAUAUGGAUUUGUGGGGUCCAAGUCCUGUAACAUUCAACUCUGGAUUCAAAUAUUAUGUCAAUAUUGUGGAUGAUUUUUCAA